GAUCAUGCUCAGGAUGAACGCUAGCGACAGGCUUAACACAUGCAAGUCGAGGGGCAGCGGGGAGUAGCAAUACUUCGCCGGCGACCGGCGCACGGGUGAGUAACACGUGUGCAACCAACCCCGUACCGGGAGAUAACCCGCGGAAACGUGGACUAACAUCCCAUAAUACUGGAGGAUCGCAUGAUCUUUCAUUUAAAAUUCCGGUGGUACGGGACGGGCACGCGCGACAUUAGGUAGUUGGCGGGGUAACGGCCC
rnacentral:rRNA from 1 species